rnacentral:rRNA from 1 species
UACGGAGGAUCCGAGCGUUAUCCGGAUUUAUUGGGUUUAAAGGGAGCGUAGGUGGAUUGUUAAGUCAGUUGAGAAAGUUUGCGGCUCAACCGUAAAAUUGCAGUUGAAACUGGCAGUCUUGAGUACAGUAGAGGUGGGCGGAAUUCGUGGUGUAGCGGUGAAAUGCUUAGAUAUCACGAAGAACUCCGAUUGCGAAGGCAGCUCACUGGACUGCAACUGACACUGAGGUUCGAAAGCGUGGGUAGCAAACAGG